rnacentral:rRNA from 1 species
UGGAGGAUGUGGUUCAAUUCGAUGCUACGCGAAGAACCUUACCUGGGCUUGACAUGCAGGUGGUAGUGACCCGAAAGGGAAGCGACCGGGGUUUAUCCCUGGAGCCUGCACAGGUGCUGCAUGGCUGUCGUCAGCUCGUGCCGUGAGGUGUAUGGUUAAGUCCCGCAACGAGCGCAACCCUGCCCUAGUUGCUAACCCGCGAGGGUGCACUCUAGGGGGACUGCCUCCGUCAAGGAGGAGGAGGGUGGGGAUGAUGUCAAGUCAUCAUGGUCCUUAUGCCCAGGGCUACACACGUGUUACAAUGGCCGGUACAGAGGGCAGCUACCUGGUGACAGGAUGCUAAUCUCGAAAACCGGUCUCAGUUCGGAUCGAAGUCUGCAACUCGACUUCGUGAAGCUGGAUUCGCUAGUAAUCGCGCAUCAGCCAUGGCGCGGUGAAUACGUUCCCGGGCCUU